rnacentral:lncRNA from 1 species
GCCGCCCUUGUAUCCCCUUUCACUAUCAGAUACUCUCUAACCCUACAUAUCCUUAGAACCUUCUAGUUCUCACAUGGCCUCCAUCACCACAUCAACUCACUCCUCCCUCACUCCUCUCGAUUCCCAGCAAUCAUGGCGUCCCUGUAUCAUGGUUUUCUCUCAAGCUUGAAGCCUAGAAGCUUCUUCCAUGGAAGACGGUCACUGAAGCUCUCUUUUGGGGUCUGUUUCCGGUGUUUUUUCGAUGAUCCUUGAACGAGGAUGCCUUCUACGGUAUUGUAUACGAGUUUCACAGCCAAGUUCUACGUUUCCAUAAUCUGUUUAAAAAC